rnacentral:rRNA from 1 species
UACGUAGGGAGCAAGCGUUGUCCGGAAUCAUUGGGCGUAAAGCGCGCGUAGGUGGCUUCGUAAGUCCGUUGUGAAAGUCAAAGGCUCAACCUUUGAAAGCCGAUGGAUACUGUGGAGCUAGAGUACGGAAGAGGCGAGUGGAAUUCCCGGUGUAGCAGUGAAAUGCGUAGAGAUCGGGAGGAACAUCAGUUGCGAAGGCGGCUCUCCUGGACCAGCACUGACACUGAGGCACGAAAGCGUGGGAGCAACAGGA